rnacentral:sRNA from 1 species
UACAAAACCUACUCAGCAAGGGAUCGU